GACGAACGCUGGCGGCGUGUCUAAUACAUGCAAGUAGAACGCUGAAGGAGGAGCUUGCUCUUCUGGAUGAGUUGCGAACGGGUGAGUAACGCGUAGGUAACCUGCCUGGUAGCGGGGGAUAACUAUUGGAAACGAUAGCUAAUACCGCAUAACAGUAGAUGUUGCAUGACAUUUACUUAAAAGGUGCAAUUGCAUCACUACCAGAUGGACCUGCGUUGUAUUAGCUAGUUGGUGGGGUAACGGCUCACCAAGGCGACGAUACAUAGCCGACCUGAGAGGGUGAUCGGCCACACUGGGACUGAGACACGGCCCAGACUCCUACGGGAGGCAGCAGUAGGGAAUCUUCAGCAAUGGACGGAAGUCUGACCGAGCAACGCCGCGUGAGUGAAGAAGGUUUUCGGAUCGUAAAGCUCUGUUGUAAGAGAAGAACGAGUGUGAGAGUGGAAAGUUCACACUGUGACGGUAUCUUACCAGAAAAGGACGGCUAACUACGU
rnacentral:rRNA from 1 species